UUGUGUAUUCAGCAAGUUUCGCGGCAAAUCUUUUAAUUAGCAAAAUUUCACCAUCGGCUCAAGUAUGAGCUUCUCUUUGUAAAAUGUUAAAACAGACAGAUAAGCUCUAAGCUCACAUGCUUUAGAAAUUGGGAUCAAUCAUUUUAUAAUGUUCGUUAUUAAAAUUUGAAAGGUGAAAGCAGGCAAGGACACAGAGCUAUGAAGCCAUUGUUAGCAUGAAGCCGCCAUGCCAUCCUAGAACAAUGUCAGGCAGGAGACAAGCAAGCAAGAAAUCGGAAACAGUCCCUUCAAUCCACGUAUAGUAUUCCUUGGCUACUGGUGUCGAUCCCAACCAAUCAUAAACAGCUAUUUUGGGUUGGCCCAGAAAAUUGAAAUUGGGAUAUUGGACGCCAUUGAUUACAGUUUUAUCCCCCAAAGUCCAACUGUGUUUGAACCACAGAUUUCAAUUUUUUUUUUUAAUCAGUUGGUGGUGGCGCGAAGAAAUAGAGAAACCCAAGCACCAUGUCACUCGCGGCUCUCACUCUAUCGUCUCCUCUUACUGUCUCCACUACCACCAAACAAAAACCACGGCCUCCUCACUAUCCUAGACCUAAAAUCACAUGCUCCUCCCUCACCACCCAAUCAGCCAAACAACACCUCCUCAAUCUCAUCUCCGACCAGGAGCGGGGUCUCAAAACCCAAAACGACACUAACAAACGCGAUUCAAUAAUCAAAGCCAUUGAUGCCAUGGCCGUUCUGGGCCGCAAUACUGUCACCACAGGCGACUCCCUAUCCGCCACGUGGCGGCUUCUAUGGACUACGGAGAAAGAGCAGCUCUUCAUUAUAGAGAAAGCUUACCUCUUCGGUACUCAAGCCGGCGACGUUUUGCAGGUCAUAGACGUCGACAACAAGACCCUCAAUAACGUUAUUACCUUUCCACCCGACGGAGUUUUCUUCGUUCGGUCCAGCAUUGAAAUUGCGUCGUCUCAGAGAGUGAAUUUCAAGUUUACGAGUGCGGUUCUCAGGGGAAAAAACUGGGAGUUCCCGUUGCCUCCAUUUGGGCAGGGUUGGUUUGAAACUGUUUACCUUGAUGAUGAGAUACGAGUUGUGAAGGAUAUCAGGGAUGAUUAUUUAGUUGUCGAGCGUGCACCAUACAACUGGAAAGAAUAAAGUGGAUGAACCUUGCCUCUCUUUGUAAUCAAAUGUGAAUGUUGAAUGGAUGGCCAUGCUUUCAAAUAUUUAUCUGAAAAAUUCAGGGCUUCUUCCCUGUUCUGAUGGUGACAAACAAUAGUGAUGGAAGGAAAAAUGUUAUAGAAAAUGGCUCAACCAUAGUCCAGCCCGGACUGAAGGAUUAAGAAACAUGCCACACGAGCACCCCUGCAUCUCCCCAGGUGUUUGCAAUCGAUGCUGCCAAUGAUUAGUUGCAAAACACGGGGCUUUCUAUCACACUGCUCAAACCAUGGCUGAUUUCCAUUUUGCUCGUUCUGUACCUUUCCAGUGCAACUGGUUGCAACAACUUAGAUGCUAGUGCAAUUAACAAAGUGAAGAUCAUAAACAGAUAAUUGACUGAAUCUUACUUUUUGUUCUCAUUGUAUGUUUAAAUAUUUUAGCCGAUUUACUGACUGCAGGACUCAAAAGCAGGAUCCAAAAGGCUUCCGAAUGGAUAACUUUAAA